CCUACGGGUGGCAGCAGUGAGGAAUAUUGGUCAAUGGGCUUACGCCUGAACCAGCCAAGUCGCGUGAGGGAAGACUGCCCUAUGGGUUGUAAACCUCUUUUGUCAGGGAGCAACGCCGACUACGUGUAGCCGGACUGAGAGUACCUGAAGAAAAAGCAUCGGCUAACUCCGUGCCAGCAGCCGCGGUAAUACGGAGGAUGCGAGCGUUAUCCGGUUUUAUUGGGUUUAAAGGGUGCGUAGGCGGAAUGCCAAGUCAGGGGUAAAAUCGCGGGGCUCAACCUCGCUCCGCCGUUGAAACUGGCGUUCUGGGGUGGGCGAGAGGUAGGCGGAAUGCGUGGUGAAGCGGUGAAAUGCAUAGAUAGCACGCAGAACUCCGAUUGCGAGGCAGCAUACCGGCGCCCAACUGACGCUGAAGCACGAAAGCGUGGGUAUCGAACAGGAUUAGAUACCCGAGUAGUC
rnacentral:rRNA from 1 species